AGAUUGAACGCUGGCGGCAUGCCUAACACAUGCAAGUCGAACGGGAGUAGCAAUACUCUAGUGGCGGACGGGUGAGGAAUACGUAGGAAUUUGCCCUUAAGUGGGGGAUAACCCGGGGAAACCCGGAUUAAUACCGCAUGACCUCGAAAGAGCAAAGUGGGGGAUCGCAAGACCUCACGCUUUUGGAGAAGCCUACGUCGGAUUAGCUAGUUGGUGAGGUAAUGGCUCACCAAGGCGACGAUCCGUAACUGGUCUGAGAGGAUGAUCAGUCACACCGGAACUGAGACACGGUCCGGACUCCUACGGGAGGCAGCAGUGGGGAAUAUUGGACAAUGGGCGCAAGCCUGAUCCAGCAAUGCCGCGUGUGUGAAGAAGGCCUUCGGUUGUAAAGUCACUUUAAGUUAGGAAGAAAAACGUACGACUACUAACAACAGUCGAGUCGUUGACGGUACCGACGAGAAUAAAGACCGAACCGCCUAACUCUGUCGCCAGCACGCCGUACGUAC
rnacentral:rRNA from 1 species